rnacentral:rRNA from 1 species
AUGGACCGAGUGAACAAGCCAUCUUCUCUGAAGGUACUUCCGGAAGAAAAGGCUCAUGUUAAAAUGUUGGUGGAGCGUGUGGUUCAACUCAUUCGCGACGGUGUCACUGGCAUGGAUCUUCUGGAGGUUUUUCUUCGAUGGCGCAUUCAACCGCUCCAGUACCGAGGUCACCCGAUGUGGUUGUACUCUGGUACCGAGGAGACCACUCGGGUCCACCCAGAGAAGGUUGACGACGCCACGCUGGAGAGGUGGAUGACUGCCAUCAUGGGGAACAAAGAUAACCCUCGUGGGGCUAGGAGGAUCCCACCACUCGACCAGUCUUAUGAGCCAGACACGGUAUGA